UACGUAGGGGGCAAGCGUUGUCCGGAUUUAUUGGGCGUAAAGAGCGUGUAGGCGGCCAGGUAGGUCUGCUGUGAAAACUCGAGGCUUAACCUCGAGCGCUGUACGCGAACAUCUGGCUAGAGUCCGGAAGAGGAGAAUGGAAUUCCCGGUGUAGCGGUGAAAUGCGCAGAUAUCGGGAAGAACACCCGUGGCGAAGGCGGUUCUCUGGGACGGUACUGACGCUGGAGACGCGAAAGCGUGGGGAGCAAACAGG
rnacentral:rRNA from 1 species